GCCGCGCGAGGGGGCGGGGUCCAGGCGGUGCGCGGGGGGACCCCAAGCGUCGGGGCGCGAGGGAACCAAUCAAUUCCCGCAGCCGCUCCGGGGCUAGAAAACAAGUGUAGACGCAGAGAUUCGCGCCCCACCAGCGGUCCCUAGUUUACGGUAGAAAACACGAUUUCCUUUCGAUACGAAAGCGCGUGUAGAGCGUAGUUCGGAGAGCCGGCGGUCCGCAGUAACUGGCUGGGGGAGGCGGUUUGCGGCUGCCCGGGGCGCUGAGCGCUGGGGCAGUUUCUCCUGACCUCUCCCUGCGUCGGGCCAGCCAAGGGGAAAGCCUCGAAUGGGAGAGAGGGGUGAAGGCAGAGGUAGGGUGAGGAAGGAAAGGGCUGAGAAAUGGCAAGAGCCCAUCCUGCCUCGGAAACUACAUAAUGGCAGGGAAGGACCGCCAGCAAGACUGGAACCAGUACAAGUUGCACAGUUGUUUGUGCAUUUGACUCAGCUACAGCAGUAGUUGCACCGGGAGGGGCAAAAUGUCCCCCAAGAGGUAGAGAAGAAAAAAUAGCAAUUGAGGCACCAGUGUCACGUGAUUCAGGGUUGAUGUCCAGCCCAGAGCAUGGCUGUCCCGAAGGUGUCAUAGCGGUAGUGGCCCUCUGGAGCUGUUGUUUCCUCUAGGAAGAAAUACAGCCUUUUAGGUGAGGCCUGUACUCAGUGUUAUAGGUUUCAGUAUUAGAAGUUAAGCUUCUGUAUUA